UUAGAAGUCGAAGCCUAACUCGCAAUAACCAGCAUGAUCGUCCAAUUAAUCGAGAUUAGGUACUCAAUGCUCCCUUGAUCUCCAACCUUGACCAUCCCAAGGACCUCUUGUCUCAACUCUCUUCUUUUCAGCAAACAAGCUUAAACAAACCUUACCGAUGGAUAGAUUUAGGCUGUUCAGAACGGUUCGUUCUUUUCUAACUCCCAAUCACCCUACAAACCUCCAUGGUUUUUCCAGGGCGAUGAUGUCGCUUCACCGGAUCCCAAAAGGUUGAAAAAGGGAGUGGGUCGAAUCGCGGGAAACCUGGUUUCGCGGUGGAGCAGGGGGAUUACCCGAUCUCAGUCGAUACCGGACGCAGGGCAUUGGAGACGGAGCCGACCGCGACUACCACGCGGAGGGAAAUGCUGGCCAACGUCGAGGAGCGACGGAGAUAUCAACACUGGGUGAGAGAGAAAGAGGGGUGGUGGAGGGAGGAAGAGAGAAAGAGAGAGAGAGAGAGAGAGAGAGAGAGACAAGCAGAGCAAAACAGUAGGAAAAGAGAUAAGAAGGAGAGCGCCGAGGAGCGUACAACGAACGAACCCGACGGGAAGGGAGGGAGGGAAGCUUGUGGUUUUGGUCAACCGGUCGGGUCGCCGUCCGCGGGAACAAUCUCUGGGCCUUGAUGACUAACCGCGUGCCCGUCUUGGCGAGGCAAGAACUCGGCUCCCUGCGGCACGUCGCGAAUGCCUGCGCAGCGUUUGCUCGGCCGGGUACCGAUCUUUUUACCACCUGCUGUCGCCCGAUCCCGUGAUACUCCUCCCGUGUUAUUUCAUCGGGGCCCAGGCGAGAUCGCUACCCCGGAAAAGGCUCGCGGGGAUACAUACGCUCACGCCGACGAGCGCGAACGAGGACUCCUCCGCGACGUCCUCGAUACUCGACCUGGCGUCCACAAUGGAGAACACAAAAUUUACGCUGGGUCACCUGAAAACAAAAAUAAAGGUAAACCAAUUUAAAAAAAUCUUGCUCACCGCAAACCAAGUGACCACCCACGUCAUCGCCUGUUACGACGAAAUGAAUCAAUCUUUCUUUAAAACAAAAAUUUGUUUAGAGUUCUUUAACGCAUACUCUGUAAUAU